rnacentral:lncRNA from 10 species
CUGAGGCUCCACAAGGCUUCGGCCUGUACGGCCACUUCCUCUUCCUCCUGCCUCUCCUCCUUUUUGGGGGACAGGGCCGCGCCGUGCCGCUGGCCCACAGACCUCGUGGAUGCCGCAUAGAAUGGCCUGAAGCAAACACGGGGUUUUUCCCAUAAGGGCCCCAUCCAGGUCCGGGGGUUGGGUCACCUCUCCUGUACGUCUCUGCUGUGAGACCUUUUGCGGGGCGCGGACCCUGAAGAUCCCUUUGGGUUUCUUCCUCCUUGCUCACCGGCCGGACCCAAGUGAUGAGAAGGGGAGUAGGGAGAUAAAUUGUGGAAAGAAAAGAAUGCUGCUGAAUUACGGAGUGCCUAACUGAAGAAAAAUCAGGGAGCAAGGACAUGAGGGGGCAGUAAAAUUUUUGAGGAAGAUUCGUUGUCAGAAAAUAGAAAUGGCUAGAAUCACCAUCAAAGUGUCAGUCAUUUCAAACUGCCUUUUAAUUACAGUCCCCAGGAUGCCUGGUAAUUACAGUAGACAUCUGACCUAAUACUCGCAGACAAAGUUCAGAUGGAAAUAUUUAGAGAAAUGCAGGCACAAAGCAGGAAAUUGGGGUAUUGGUGUUUUCAGAGUUCUCUUUGGGUAUCUCUUUGGGUAUUGGGGGGGAAAAGCUCCAAUGAAAUAUAUCAGACAUGAUUUAAAAAAUGACAUGAAGCCACUGUCUGGUUUUCCUCAGGCCCGACAUUGGGCAGCAUUCACAGCAAGUAUUCAUUGGCUGGUGGAAGCCCUUGUGAUCAAAAUGAAGUCAGAUGAUUUAGCACAUACAGUUGUUUGCCUGUGUUCUCCAAAACUGAAGAGCAUUGCAUUCACAUUUCUUGUAGGGAGUGUAAAGGAAACAAACCACUCACCUGCUGCAAGUGCUUAGCAUUGUGCUAGAAUAAUUACAGAAGCUAUCUCAGGCUGGGCAUGGUGGUGCACGCCUGUAAUCCCAGCUACUUGGGAGGCUGAGACGGGAGGAUCGCUUGAGCCCAGGAGAGAUCACAACACUGCACUCCAGCCUGGGUGACAGGGUGAGACUGUCCAAAAAAAGGAAAAGAAUAAUUCAGCAGUAGUUGGUUACAGAGUGAAAAGUACUCCCACUUGAUUUUUAUUUUAUUAUCCUGGACUCGAUUUUAUUAUCAAGUGGGAUUUUUACCAGGGCUUUCAGAAGUUAAGGUAAUUUGCCCAAGGUCACAUGAUUAGUAAAUUAUCAGUUUAGGAUUGAACUCAGGUCACCUGUCUCCCCCAAAUCAUACAGAAUGCAGGUGUGUACAUUUAUCUAAGUGUAUCAAACUGUACAGGUAAAUGGGUACAUUUAAUGUAAAUCAUAACCCAGUAAAGCUGAUUUUUUAAAAUCAUGCAGAAUGAGUGAUGUUAUAAAACUCGUCAAAGAAACCACAUUAUGAUUUCAUACAUGAAAGUUUAUAUAUAAAGGCUGGGCGUGGUGGCUCAUGCCCGUAAUCCCA